UUAGUACUAGCGGGUAUCCCUACCUGAUCCGAGGUCAACCUGAAAAAAUUGGGGGUUAUUGGCAAGUAACCACUUGGAUCUCCAAAGCGAGAAGAAUUACUACGCUUGAAGCCAAAUGGCACCGCCACUGAUUUUAAGACCUGCCAGAAACUGGCAAUGUCCGAUACCAAGCAAAGCUUGAGGGUUGUAAUGACGCUCGA
rnacentral:misc_RNA from 1 species